rnacentral:rRNA from 1 species
AGCGAACGCUGGCGGCAGGCCCAACACAUGCAAGUCGAACGGACCCUUCGGGGUUAGUGGCGGACGGGUGAGUAACACGUGGGAACGUGCCUUUAGGUUCGGAAUAGCUCCUGGAAACGGGUGGUAAUGCCGAAUGUGCCCUUCGGGGGAAAGAUUUAUCGCCUUUAGAGCGGCCCGCGUCUGAUUAGCUAGUUGGUGGUGUAACGGACCACCAAGGCGACGAUCAGUAGCUGGUCUGAGAGGAUGAUCAGCCACAUUGGGACUGAGACACGGCCCAAACUCCUACGGGAGGCAGCAGUGGGGAAUCUUGCGCAAUGGGCGAAAGCCUGACGCAGCCAUGCCGCGUGAAUGAUGAAGGUCUUAGGAUUGUAAAAUUCUUUCACCGGGGACGAUAAUGACGGUACCCGGAGAAGAAGCCCCGGCUAACUUCGUGCCAGAGCCGCCGUAACAC